GUGUCCCAACGCUUGACAUUGGCCUCGCUGACGAUCGCCGGAGCGAUCCCCGCCGCCCACUGCCGAACCUAAAAGGGGGUGCUCGCGCAUCCCCGGUGUCAGAGCCCCGUGCUACGACGCUAUCAUAACUACAAACUAUAAAUGCACAAGAUUUAUCUUACAAGCAUACAAGCUAGCAAUUUUAUCAACCUAGUACAAGCAUACAUGCACAUUCACAAAAAUUUAUCAACCUAGUACAAGCAUACAAGCUACCAAGCUCGGGAUAUGCAUCCAAGCUACCAAGCAAAUUUAUCAACCUAGUACAAGCAUACAAGCUACCAAGCUCGGGAUAUGCAUCACAAAAAUUUCACAAAAAAUACAGAAAAAAAAUGCUCACCAAUUAGGGAAGGGGGAGCCGGUAGUGGAGGAGG
rnacentral:lncRNA from 1 species